GUCCACGCCCUAAACGAUGUCAACUGGAUGUUGGGUGGGUUAAACCACUUAGUGUCGUAGCUAACGCGUGAAGUUGACCGCCUGGGGAGUACGGCCGCAAGGCUAAAACUCAAAGGAAUUGACGGGGACCCCGCACAAGCGGUGGAUGAUGUGGAUUAAUUCGAUGCAACGCGAAAACCUUACCUACCCUUGACAUGUCAGGAAUCUUUGAGAGAUUGAAGAGUGCCCGAAAGGGAGCCUGAACACAGGUGCUGCAUGGCUGUCGU
rnacentral:rRNA from 1 species